AGCGAACGUUAGCGGCGGGGCUUAACACAUGCAAGUCGAGCGAGAAAGGGACUUCGGUCCUGAGUAAAGCGGCGGACGGGUGAGUAACACGUAGGUAAUCUUCCCUUGAGCGGGGGACAACGGUCCGAAAGGACCGCUAAUACCGCAUACGUUUCCAGGGACUCUGGUCUUUGGAAGGAAAGCUAGGCCGCAAGGUCCGGCACUCGAGGAGGAGCCUGCGUCGCAUCAGCUAGUUGGUGGGGUAAUGGCCACCAAGGCGAAGACGCGUAGCUGGUCUGAGAGGAUGAUCAGCCACACUGGGACUGAGACACGGCCCAGACUCCUACGGGAGGCAGCAGGUGGGGAA
rnacentral:rRNA from 1 species